rnacentral:rRNA from 1 species
UACGGAGGGGGCUAGCGUUGUUCGGAAUUACUGGGCGUAAAGGGUGCGUAGGCUGCGCGGAAAGUUGGGUGUGAAAUCCCUCGGCUCAACCGAGGAACUGCGCUCAAAACUACCGUGCUCGAGGGAGACAGAGGUGAGCGGAACUUAGGGUGGAGCGGUGAAAUGCGUUGAUAUCCUAAGGAACACCCGUGGCGAAAGCGGCUCACUGGGUCUCUUCUGACGCUGAGGCACGAAAGCUAGGGUAGCGAACGGG